rnacentral:rRNA from 1 species
GAUGAACGCUGGCGGCGGGCCUAAUACAUGCAAGUCGAGCGAACGGACGAGAAGCGUUCGUCUCUGAUGUUAGCGGCUGACGGGCGGGUAACACGUGCAUAACCUACCUCUAAGACGUGGAGAACAUCGGGGGACCGCAUCUGAUACCGCAGAAUAUUUUCAACCGCAGAGUUCAGAAGAGCAAGACGGUCUUGCUGUCACUUAGAGAUGGAGCCGCGCUGCAUUAGCUAGUUGGUAAGGUAACGGCUUACCAAGGCAACGAUGCAUAGCCGACCUGAGAGGAUGAUCAGCCACACUGGAACUGAGACACGGUCCAGACUCCUACGGGAGGCAGCAGUAGGGAAUAUUCGGCAAUGGGCGAAAGCCUGACGGAGCAACGCCGCGUGAGUGAUGAAGGUCUUCGGGUCGUAAAACUCUGUUAUUAGGGAAGAACAUAUGUGUAUGUAACUGUGGCUAUCUUGACGGUACCUAAUGAGAAAGCCACGGCUAACUUCGUG